rnacentral:rRNA from 1 species
AACAAACGCUGGCGGCGCGCCUAAUACAUGCAAGUCGAGCGGUAAGGCCCUUUCGGGGGUACACGAGCGGCGAACGGGUGAGUAACACGUGGGUGACCUGCCCUCAGCUCUGGGAUAAGCCUGGGAAACCGGGUCUAAUACCGGAUAUGACUCCAUGACGCAUGUUGUGGGGUGGAAAGCCUUGUGCGGCUGAGGAUGGGCCCGCGGCCUAUCAGCUUGUUGGUGGGGNGAUGGCCUACCAAGGCGACGACGGGUAGCCGGCCUGAGAGGGCGACCGGCCACACUGGGACUGAGACACGGCCCAGACUCCUACGGGAGGCAGCAGUGGGGAAUCUUGCGCAAUGGGCGAAAGCCUGACGCAGCGACGCCGCGUGAGGGAUGACGGCCUGU